CCAUUCUGAUCAUUAAAACAUUCAUGGUGUUACUGGAGGUACAUCUACUGUAAAUGUCAAGGUCCUGAUUCAUACUGUAUGACUCCAAACAUCACUAAGGUCCUGAUUCAUACUGUAUGACUCUAAACAUCACUAAGGUCCUGAUUCAUACUGUAUGACUACAAACAUCACUAAGGUCCUGAUUCACACUGUAUGACUACAAACAUCACUAAGGUCCUGAUUAAUACUGUAUGACUCUAAACAUCACUAAGGUCCUGAUUCAUACUGUAUGACUCUAAACAUCACUAAGGUCCUGAUUCAUACUGUAUGACUCCAAACAUCACUAAGGUCCUGAUUCAUACUGUAUGACUCCAAACAUCACUAAGGUCCUGAUUCACACUGUAUGACUCCAAACAUCACUAAGGUCCUGAUUCACACUGUAUGA